ensembl:lncRNA
CACUUUUCCAUUUUCUUGCUCUUGAUUAAAGAGCACUGAGAAUCUCUCAAAAUAGAAGCGAGGCUUGAAUUACAUCUGCCUCAAAAGGAAGGAAGAUAACAAGAAAACGAAGAGAAAACUUAAUUAAUUGUUGUUUGUAUCAUGUAGGGCUUUGCUAGAGGAACCUUCUCCUUACCUGAUGAAGCUGUGGUAAAGCAUAGAAGAUAGAUGAGGGAAUCAUGACUGUACAGAUAAGCCAUGCUAACCACCACUGCUGACAUCAGUGGUGACACACAAACCAACAGAGCACCUCAAGUCCUUCCCACAGCAUUUGGGAUAAGCUCCAAAGCAUCUGCCCAGAACAAAGUGCUCCCAACAGGACCUUCAUUCAGGCUCAGCUGAGGUGAGAUGAGUGUGAGGUGAGCUCAUUUCCCCCUAUAUGAGAUUCCCCCACCCACCCCACGAGAGGUGAUGUGAGGAUAAGCUGAUGAACAUGUGUGGGGUGCUUCGAUCCUGCAUGAUAAGCCCCAGAAGGGACC